rnacentral:misc_RNA from 1 species
GCAAACUUGGUCAUUUAGAGGAAGUAAAAGUCGUAACAAGGUCUCCGUAGGUGAACCUGCGGAGGGAUCAUUACCGAGUGAGGGCCUUUGGCCCGAUCUCCAACCCAAUGUUGACCAACACCUGUUGCCUCGGGGGUGACCCGGACGCCGACGCGUCGGGGCCCCCGGUGGACCAUUUCAACUCUGUGUCUGUACGUCGGAGUCUAAAGUUAAUCAAUUAAAACUUUCAACAACGGAUCUCUUGGUUCUGGCAUCGAUGAAGAACGCAGC